UGUUUCCUCCGAUCGCAAGGCACUCGACUCUCUGAAGGUCGUCGGAAGUAUGUCGCACCGUGAUGAGCAUCGAACAAAACUAAGGGAAGCAUUUUGCACUCUCUUCUUGGCCAUUGUAACUUCUGGAAGAAUGUUUCUCCUCCCCCCUACCUGGCGUGCCAAACUGUUGCGGCUCAUCUCUGGUGGGGUAGUCAGAUCGUCAUGCCUGAGUGUGGAAU
rnacentral:lncRNA from 1 species